UUUUUUUAGGGCCACACCUGAGGCAUAUGGAGGUUCUCAGGCUAGGGGUCAAAUCCGAGCUGUAGCCCCUGGCCUACACCACAGCCACAGCAACGUGGUAUCCAAGCCACAUCUGCAAUGCUAGAUUCUUAACCCACUGAGUGAGGCCAGGGGUUGAACCUGUGUCCGCAUGGAUGCUAUUCAGAUUAGUUUCUGCUGAGCCAUGAUAGGAACUCCAAGCUUGAAGGUUUCAAAACCCCUUCAGUGCAAUGGAGAGGGUGGAGUCUUGAGACUCAGCAGAGCAAGGGCAGAAACACUAUUUCCAAUUUGUGCCAGGCAUCAUGGUACAGAGGACAGAGCUGGACUUAGUCCUGGACUCUCAUCCAGCUUCACCCCUUACUAGACCCGUUGUCUUGGGCAAGUGCCUUAACAUCUCAAGUCUAGCUUCCUUUUUUGCAUCAUAAAAUUUUUGUUUUCUCCUUUUAGGGCCACACCCACAGCAUAUGGAAGUUCCCAGGCUAGGAGUCAAAUGGGAGCUGCAGCUGCCAGCCUACGCCACAGCCACAGCCAGGCCAGAUCUGAGCCUCAUCUGCCACCUACAUUGCACCUUGCGGUCAUGCCAGAUCCUUAACCUACGGAGCAAGGCCAGGGAUGGAACCCACAUCCUCAGAGAGACCACAUUGUGCCCUUAACCUGCUGAGCCACAGUGGGAACUCCUGCAAUAAAGUUAUUAACAUUUAUCUCAUAGAGUCAUUGUGAAGAUAUUAACAAAAUAUAUGUAGGGUACUCAACAUACGUCAAUUUUUUAAAAUGUAAAUUCCCACCCCCAAUUUCACUUCUCUCUGUUGAGUGUACAUAUUUUAGGGUUUAAUCUGCACCAUGUUCCUUUUACUUCUGAGAAGCUCCAGCACCGGGGUGAGCCGCAGCAGCCAGAGGAAUACUACACAACCCUCCCUGUUCACUUGGUCACAGUGGGGGCCAGGGGCCCAGAAGUGGUCACUUGACCCAAACUGGGCCAAUCAGAUUGAUUUUGCAAUAGGGCACAAGACACCUGUCAGACUCUGCUGGGUGCUUGAGCCAGCAAGCAACACAUUUAAGGGUCAAGAUUACUUGAGGGAACAAAGGAAGGAAGGAAGGGAGAGAAUGAGGGAGGAAGCGGGGAAAGAAAGGUUCCCAUGAGGACUUGGGUUCGAUCCCUGCCCUUGCUCAGUGGGUUAAGGAUCCGGCAUUGCCGUGAGCUGUGGCGUAGGUUGCAGACGCGGCUCGGAUCCUGCGUUGCUAUGGCUCUGGCAUAGGCUAGUGGCUACAGCUUUGAUUCGACCCCUGGCCUGGGAACCUCCAUAUGCCGAGGGUGCGGCCCUAGAAAAAAAGACAAAAAAUAAAAACAAAACGAGUUCCUUCACACCUCACCUUAAUUCCACCAGCAGCUAACCCAGGUGUUGGGUGCCUCUCCUGAGACCUUUGCCUGAACUGUCCGGGCUGAAGGCCUGACUGAUGUCACCACAUCACGAAGGAUCUUUCCCGUGGUCUACCCCUGACAGGGCACCCUCUGGGGACGAGCUCAUUAGGGGGCAGGGAAGAAGAAGGACCCUGCCGAGACAGGCCCGUGCUGGCCAGGAAUGGCCUCCAUUGGCUCAGCCAGAGACUAACAGAGGGGUGUGACUGCCUCAAGGAACAGCGAUGACUCGGUGGUGCCCACUGAGGGGUCCUAACGAGGAUGCUCCAGGCAACAUGGAAGACCUCCCAGUCCAUUCUGUGGAGGCAGGGAUGGGAACAACCUCGAGGAUCCCGUGCUGUUCUGGUGCCCCGCCAUGGAGGCCAUCUGCCAAGGCUGGCCUCUGAUCUGGGGCUCCCGCACCAGCUCCUCCAUCUCUGCCGUCCUGCCCCUUGCCCUGCCUACCUUCAUCCCACCUCCUGGCUGCUGCCACCACUUCUUAUUCAGUCUUGGCUUCUGCUCUCUGCUCUCUUUCCGUGUCUUUUGGCUUCUGGCCUUGCAAAAACAGAGCUCUGCCUCUCUCCGGAGGCUCCCUCUCAAACCCCGAGAGAGAGGCCGUGUUGGCUCCGUUGGUUACUGUUCUCCACGCUGCCUCCCAAGCCACCGGGCCGCCCGUGAGGUGGGCUGCCUUUCCGUCAGGUGCACGCCUGAAUCCACCAUGCAAGGGUGGGUCACCCAGCUGGCUUUAUUCUAGGAGGGACUGUGGCAUUGCAGCUCUCACGGCAUGACAUAUCUUUCUCCAAAAUACAUGGGGAAGGAGCAAAUGAGAUGGUGGAGGUGAAUAUGCUUUGGCAAGUACAGUGGGCCUUGCUGGCACAAAAUAUGUAUUAUUGAUAACAUGAGCAAGGCCAUUAGGUCACUAUUCAUGGAGGUUUUGCUCCCCUCGGACUUGCUGGCCAAGGGCAGUGGUUAGUUACCAAUAGCCAUGGUCGCUGAUUCCCAAACCCUCUCCAGGGAAGUUGCUGGAACACCCAGCCCCCCCUCCGCCCCCUCCCACUAGGGCUGCUUCAUCGAGAAUCCUCCUUACCUGCUUCCCUGCUGCUGCAGCUCUGGGCACUCAGGGAGCUCCCGACAAGGCUCACAGAUCCC
rnacentral:lncRNA from 1 species